GACGAACGCUGGCGGCGUGCUUAACACAUGCAAGUCGAACGGAAAGGCCUCUUUCGGGGGGUACUCGAGUGGCGAACGGGUGAGUAACACGUGAGUAACCUGCCCUUGACUUUGGGAUAACUUCAGGAAACUGGGGCUAAUACCGGAUAGGAGCUCCUGCUGCAUGGUGGGGGUUGGAAAGUUUCGGCGGUUGGGGAUGGACUCGCGGCUUAUCAGCUUGUUGGUGGGGUCGUGGCUUACCAAGGCUUUGACGGGUAGCCGGCCUUAGAGGGUGACCGGCAACAUUGGGACUGAGAUUCGGCCCAGACUCCUACGGGAGGCAGCAGUGGGGAUGAUUGAACAAUGGGUGGAAGCCUGAUGCAGCAACGCCGUGUGCGGGAUGACGGCCUUCGGGUUGGAAACCGCAUUCGCUCAUGACGAAGCUUUGUGUGACGGUAGUGGGUAAAGAAGCACCGGCUAACUACGUG
rnacentral:rRNA from 1 species